AACUUCAUCUAUUAUGAAACAGAGGGAGUAUAUGAUUUGUUAGUCGAUACAUUUGUUUGAUACAUAGAUUGUUAGAUGAUACUGAAAUUAUUAGCUGAUAUGUUAGUUGGUAUGUAGAUUGUUACCUGCUAUGUAAAUAUUUAGCUGAUAGAUCUAGAGUUACAUGUUUUUUAUAAAACAUGAGGGCAUUUUCGUCCGCACAGUAUCAAAAGGUUACUCUUUUUUGGGUUUAAUCACAUCAUGGGCAUUUAGCUAAUUUGGAUCUUUGUUGGGUAUAUUACACUAAUUGUCCCAAGAUAUUAAGCUCUCAUUUUUAUUUUAUUUUUAUUUUUAUUUUUUGUUCAACAGAUAUUAAGCUCUCAUAUGAUCAGCAUGGCAAGGUUCUGCUUGCUUCAAAAGUGACUUGAGUGGUGUGUUCAAGCUUCUUUUUCUUGCUUGAUAAAAACUCAAUUGAGAUGUGGUAAGAACUUUAUCUCUAGGUUGUGGUAUACCUAAUCUUGGUAUUUUGCUUCUGGAGGACCCCCAUUGCCAUUAUUGCUAAGCAACUUGUUCAACCCUUUGAUGAGUAAUUAUAGAUACCGGUUAAAGCUUUCACACAAUUGGUUCAACGUAGGUUAAAUAAAAAAUGAAUGUGGUGUGAUUCUCAGGGAAUUUGCUAUAUGAUGGUUGGGAUCAUACCAUGGCUGAUACUCUCAACCAGAGGGAGCAAAUAUGUAUGUAGAUUCGUAGAGUUUUGUUACAAAAAAAAAAAAAAAGAUUCGUAGAGUUUUAAAUCACAGUAUUGAAGAGGGUGGAAAUCUAUGUUUUUGAGUUUAAGUGCUGUAGCCUUUUUCUAGUUGAAUGUAAAGAUAUAUCCAGACCCAAAAGUCUUUGUUACAAAAGGAUGCAUCAUGUUUCUUUUUCCCACCCAUUUGGGUUACAAAUGUUAGAAAUUUAACUUGACUUGACAGUGUGUGGAGCUUGCAAUUUACCAUGAACGGCUGGUGGCUGGCGAAUCUCCAAUGUUCUGUUUUUUUAAUAGAAAAGUUCUAAAACAGAAAUGUAUUUCGGAGAUGUAUUUCUCAGAAUAUUUUAAAUAUAUUUAUAAAAAUUGUAAGCUAAUUUAUUUUUAUGCGAAACUUUCAAAAUUGUAUAAUAUCAUUUAAUUUUUAUAUUAAUUUAAAAGUAAUGGCAUGCCAUACAAACAAUAAAAUAUAGUAAAUUUUCUUUAAUCAUUAAUAUUUGAGUUUCCUAUAAAUUCUUUUUAGUAACUAUAAUUGAUAAAUUUUAGUAUAAUUACUAGGUGAGUUUCCAUGAGCACGGAUACAAACAUUUACGUAAUGAUUGAAUUAAAAAAUUGAUAAAAAAAUACUUUGUUUAUAAUUUUUAAGUUAAUUUCUAAUAUCUAUAAUAUUAUUUGAAAAGUCAGUUUGUUAUGUAUUAUUAUGUUCCCAUCUUAAUUGGAUAUAUGAUUUCACAUAUAAUAUUUUGUAUAGUUUUAAAUAUAUUUUUGUGUUAAAUUAUAUCUAUUAUUUUAAAUUAAACAAUGAUUUUUAAUUAUAUUAAAAUUGGACUAUUAUUUUCUUAAUUUCAUGUAGUUAAGUUCAUUUUCUUUUAUUUGUAAAUAUAUUGGUGUUUUUGUAUAAAUGGGUAUAUAUUGUUUUAGAAAAUA